rnacentral:rRNA from 1 species
AUUGAACGCUGGCGGCAGGCUUAACACAUGCAAGUCGAGCGGAGUGAUGGUGCUUGCACUAUCACUUAGCGGCGGACGGGUGAGUAAUGCUUAGGAAUCUGCCUAUUAGUGGGGGACAACAUCUCGAAAGGGAUGCUAAUACCGCAUACGUCCUACGGGAGAAAGCAGGGGAUCACUUGUGAUCUUGCGCGAAUAGAUGAGCCUAAGUCGGAUUAGCUAGUUGGUGGGGUAAAGGCCUACCAAGGCGACGAUCUGUAGCGGGUCUGAGAGGAUGAUCCGCCACACUGGGACUGAGACACGGCCCAGACUCCUACGGGAGGCAGCAGUGGGGAAUAUUGGACAAUGGGGGGAACCCUGAUCCAGCCAUGCCGCGUGUGUGAAGAAGGCCUUAUGGUUGUAAAGCACUUUAAGCGAGGAGGAGGCUUACCUAGUUAAUACCUGGGAUAAGUGGACGUUACUCGCAGAGUAAGCACCGGCUAACUCUGUGCCAGCAGCCGCGGUAA